CAGUUGAUAGUUUAUUAAAAAUUUUAGUUUUGGAUAUUAAAGAUGCAUGUGUGUUUGACUGA
rnacentral:tRNA from 1 species